GUGCUUGCUUCGGCAGCAUACAUACUGAAAUUGGAAUAAUACAGAGAAGACCAGCACGGCCCUGCACAAGGAGGACAUGCAAAUUCAUGAAGCAUUCCAUAUUUUU